rnacentral:rRNA from 1 species
AGCCAGACUCCUACGGGAGGCAGCAGUGGGGAAUAUUGCACAAUGGGGGAAACCCUGAUGCAGCGACGCCGCGUGAGUGAAGAAGUAUUUCGGUAUGUAAAGCUCUAUCAGCAGGGAAGAAAAUGACGGUACCUGACUAAGAAGCCCCGGCUAACUACGUGCCAGCAGCCGCGGUAAUACGUAGGGGGCAAGCGUUAUCCGGAUUUACUGGGUGUAAAGGGAGCGUAGACGGCAUGGCAAGUCGGAUGUGAAAGCCCGGGGCUCAACCCCGGGACUGCAUUUGAAACUGUCAGGCUGGAGUGCAGGAGAGGUAAGUGGAAUUCCUAGUGUAGCGGUGAAAUGCGUAGAUAUUAGGAGGAACACCAGUGGCGAAGGCGGCUUACUGGACUGUAACUGACGUUGAGGCUCGAAAGCGUGGGGAGCAAACAGGAUUAGAUACCCUAGUA